GGAAACGCCUCUCUACCAAAGGUAAAGGAUACUCUUCAGCUCUGCUGUCAUUUCUACAACUAAUGCUUAGGAGUGUGUAUGUGGCUACAGCGACAGGAAUAUUCAUUCUGAUCACUGUCAUUAUCUCAGAAAAUAUAUCUCAGUCCCACACACCGAUCAUGAGACCAGCAACAUCCUUAAAGAAGGUCGCUCACCCUUCAGAGAAGGAAGUUAUUGCAGAGAUGGUCAAACAGCUAAGAGUUAUCGGAGAUAAACUCAAUAUGAAGCAGAAGAUUCUAAAUCUUUUUUCUGAAAUGAUGACUCCUAAAACAUGAUUUCCUGGUUAAAAGUCAUAGAACAGCAGAAAAAAGUUACUGAAAAUUAAUUCCGUGUUUGAGCAAAUACUAAAAAUAAAAAAGAUUAAUCUUUAUGCGACAAAGGCUAACUUGGAAUGGUUGGAAGAAGACAACCAAAUCGAUCCUUGACUGCAUUAAAAGGUGUCAUAUUAAGCAACGGAGGACCAUGGAUUGGUUUGAGACAGACAGUGCAAGUAGGAGGGGCUUUUUCUUAAUGGAGGUUUAUCUUUUAAGAAAAAGAAUUAUAAAGACCUCGUCAUCAUCAGCCCAAUCUGUUGACGUUUAAUUGAUUUAUUACAAUAAGGAACUGGACCUAUUAAAACUGACUUACAAUUUGAACCUGAUCUUUCCAAUCUGGAGAAUAAUUCAUAAUAAUUUAUAUAUUAUUACUUCAUGGUGUUUGUUAUCAUACCCAUGGUUUAAUGGUUUGAUGAUCCAAUAAGUCUGUUUUAAACUGUACACACUGCAUAUGGAAAAAUGUAAAUUGCAGAACAUAAACCAUGUACAUAUCACAUGUACAUAUUUAGGAUUAUGUGGAUUGAUGCCUAUAAAAUAAAGCUUUAUACUGUUAAAACAUGUUUUGUAUAUACAAAUGCUCUGGAAGCCAUAAUGCAGAAAACAUUGUCAUAUAGUUAAUCAUGUGAUGUAGUUACAUUGUGAUAUUUUGUGUUCUAUCUAUUUAUUUAUCUAUCAAUAUAUAUGCUUGUCCAUCUAUCUAUCUAUCAAAUGGAUCUUCAGUUUUAGAUCUAUAUAAAUCUUAUAUUAGUAAUUAUCUGUGUAACAGUUGUUUAUAGUUCUUUGGCUUUUGCUAAAAAUUCAGAUAAUUGCUGUGUUCUCUUUUUUUUACCCUUCAUUCCUACAAUUUCAAGCACUGCCUCAUUAAACAGUAUUUGCAUGGCAGGCAGUAGAGGAAAACAAUGUUCUUGUAGUUUGAACUGCCUGACUUACUUAAAGGGAUAUUGUACUAAAAUAAUUAUCUUAUCUAUAUGAAGGCCAUUCUUUUAACCUACUGACCUGACAUUUUUCCCUGUAUAAAUGAAGUAAAACCUGUUAAAACUGAAAGUAAACUACUGGUAUCAGUUGUGCAUUUCCUACUAAUAAGCAUUGGCUUUUAGGUACUUCUAGAUAAUACUAAAUGAGCAUUAGUAAGAAGGUGCUAUCAGCCAAUGAGCAUUCACAGGAUGUUCCUAACAGCCAUUCAACAUUAAUAGGAAGUAGCUAUCAUCCAAUGAGGAUUAGUAGGAAGUACAAAACUGAUACUGUUGUAUUACUUAUAUGAUAGAUAGAUGUAGAAAAGUGACUUUUUUGGCACAAUGUCCCUUUAAAGGGGCAUCAUAUAUUUUGACCAUGAACUGCUCCAUGUUUAUAAUGCAGUUUUUCUGAUAUACUGGCCCAUAAAAAUCCUUGGCAGGAGUGAGGUGAGAAAGAGGGUGCAGGGUACAAAGUAGCUUUCUCUGGUGAAUGUAGAUUACGUAAUUUUAAAUGUAAAGCUGAGUAAGACAUUAUUUUUAUAUAUCAAAAAAUAUUUUUUACCAUAUAUUAUGGAUAUGUUGAAUAUUUUACGCUAUGUAGCAUUUCAAGUACUUUAGUUAUAAAUGAUUAAUAUUUAAUCUUUAAAUGUCUAUCUUGCUCAUUAUUUAGCAAAAUAUCCAUAUCCAUUUAUCAUGUUGUAUUUAUGAUGCAGUGUAUUUAUUGUUUGAGUGAUUUUUUUUCUCUCUAUAUAUAAAAAUGAAAGUAAAACAUAUGCUUUUAAAAUGA